CACCACUGCACUCCAGCCUGGGUGACAGAGCAAGACUCUGUCUCAAAGAAAAAGAAAAAAGAAGAUUAGUUUUGACGAUUUGUUCUGGUAAGAUCUGGGAGCUGGAUUUAAGGAGCCCUGAACUUGGUGCCUUUUCCUUACUUUCCUUUUCUCCCUGCCCCCACCUGCCCGCCCCCUGUUGACUAGCUUAUUUUGUACAUCCCCAUACCAAAUCCCUUAAGAAUUGCAGGAUGUGACGCAGAUGAGGAAAAAUCCAUUCUAGAGGGGAGAUGCUAGAUGAUGGAAAACCUGGAUCUCAUCGGUCUCUGGUGGAGAUCUCCAACAUGCAGCAAGAAUAGACUACAAGAGGCUGCACUUAGCCUCCAGAGUUGUCUCUUCAACAAGACAGGUCUGAUCAUCUCAGUAACCUUCUUCUGGGACUCCUGUUAGACGUGUAUAUUUAAUACCAUUGGCUAAGUCGUAACAAUCAUCCAAGUCAACCGACCUCCCAGCCUGCCCACAUUGCCUCCCUGUAGGAAGUGAUUUUGCACACAGAAGCCCCUGGUGGGGUAGGGUGGAGUGUGAAGUAUCUGUUCUUG
rnacentral:lncRNA from 1 species